GUAUGGUUAAGUGACUAAGCGUACACGGUGGAUGCCUAGGCAAUCAGAGGCGAAGAAGGACGUGCUAAUCUGCGAAAAGCUUGGAUGAGUUGAUAAGAAGCGUUUAAUCCAAGAUAUCCGAAUGGGGAAACCCGAUGGAUGAAGAAUCCAUCAUUUCAUUAUGAAUCCAUAGUAAUGAAAGGCAAACCGGGAGAACUGAAACAUCUAAGUACCCCGAGGAAAAGAAAUCAACCGAGAUUUUGUCAGUAGCGGCGAGCGAAAGCGAAAGAGCCAGCAAGUGAUAGCAGCAAAGACAGAAGAAUUGGCUGGGAAGCCAAGCGACACAGGGUGAUAGCCCCGUAUUUUAAGUUUAUGUUGUGGUACUAAACUUGCAACAAGUAGGGCGGGACACGAGAAAUCCUGUUUGAAGAUGGGGGGACCAUCCUCCAAGGCUAAAUACUCCUGAUUGACCGAUAGUGAACCAGUACUGUGAAGGAAAGGCGAAAAGAACCCCAGUGAGGGGAGUGAAAUAGAACCUGAAACCGUGUACGUACAAGCAGUGGGAGCCCUUUUGGGUGACUGCGUACCUUUUGUAUAAUGGGUCAGCGACUUAUAUUUUGUAGCGAGGUUAACUGAAUAAGGGAGCCGAAGGGAAACCGAGUCUUAACUGGGCGGAUAGUUGCAAGGUAUAGACCCGAAACCCGGUGAUCUAGCCAUGGGCAGGUUGAAGGUUGGGUAACACUAACUGGAGGACCGAACCGACUAAUGUUGAAAAAUUAGCGGAUGACUUGUGGCUGGGGGUGAAAGGCCAAUCAAACCGGGAGAUAGCUGGUUCUCCCCGAAAUCUAUUUAGGUCGAGCCUUAUGUGAAUACCUUCGGGGGAAGAGCACUGUUUCGGCUAGGGGUCCAUCCUGGAUUACCAACCCGAUGCAAACUGCGAAUACCGAAGAGUAAUGCAUAGGAGACACACAGUGGGUGCUAACGUCCAUCGUGGAGAGGGAAACAACCCAGACCGCCAGCUAAGGUCCCAAAGUCUAUAUUAAGUGGGAAACGAAGUGGGAAGGCUUAGACAGCUAGGAUGUUGGCUUAGAAGCAGCCACCAUUUAAAGAAAGCGUAAUAGCUCACUAGUCGAGUCGGCCUGCGCGGAAGAUGUAACGGGGCUAAAAUAUAGCACCGAAGCUGCGGCAUCAGGCGUAUCACAAAUACGCCUUACGAUUAACAACAUCGAAUGAAGUGAAACGGAAUAAGAUGUUGGUCAAGCACCCAACACGUUGAGUUGGCAUAAAGUGCGGAUAGAAAUCAGAGGAAUAUUUGUGAUACGCCUGUUGGGUAGGGGAGCGUUGUGUAAGUCGAUGAAGGUGUAUUGAGAAGUAUGCUGGAGAUAUCACAAGUGCGAAUGCUGACAUAAGUAACGAUAAAACGAGUGAAAAACUCGUUCGCCGGAAGACCAAGGGUUCCUGUCCAACGUUAAUCGGGGCAGGGUGAGUCGGCCCCUAAGGCGAGGCUGAAAAGCGUAGUCGAUGGGAAACGGGUUAAUAUUCCCGUACUUGGUAAAGCUGCGAUGUGGGGACGGAGAAGGUUAGGUUAGCAGACUGUUGGAUGUCUGUUUAAGUUGGUAGGUGGGAAGUUUAGGCAAAUCCGGACUUCCAUAACACUGAGAGAUGAUGACGAGUUUCUACGGAAAUGAAGUAACUGAUACCACGCUUCCAGGAAAAGCCACUAAGCGAAAGGCUUUACUAAACCGUACUGAAAACCGACACAGGUGGUCAGGUAGAGAAUACUCAGGCGCUUGAGAGAACUCGGG
rnacentral:rRNA from 1 species